rnacentral:rRNA from 1 species
AGUGAACGCUGGCGGUAGGCCUAACACAUGCAAGUCGAACGGCAGCACAGGAGAGCUUGCUCUCUGGGUGGCGAGUGGCGGACGGGUGAGGAAUACAUCGGAAUCUACUCUGUCGUGGGGGAUAACGUAGGGAAACUUACGCUAAUACCGCAUACGACCUACGGGUGAAAGCAGGGGACCUUCGGGCCUUGCGCGAUUGAAUGAGCCGAUGUCGGAUUAGCUAGUUGGCGGGGUAAAGGCCCACCAAGGCGACGAUCCGUAGCUGGUCUGAGAGGAUGAUCAGCCACACUGGAACUGAGACACGGUCCAGACUCCUACGGGAGGCAGCAGUGGGGAAUAUUGGACAAUGGGCGCAAGCCUGAUCCAGCCAUACCGCGUGGGUGAAGAAGGCCUUCGGGUCGUAAACUUCUUUUGUUGGGAAAGAAAUCCAGCUGGCUAAUACCCGGUUGGGAUGACGGUACCCAAAGAAUAAGCACCGGCUAACUUCGUGCCAGCCGCCGCCGUAA